UACAUUUGUUAUAAACUUGACAUUAAAUCAAUAUACUAAAUAAGAUAAAUAAAAAUUUGGUAGGUUUUGGUUGAUUUUGGUAGGAACUUUUGGUAGGAUACAAAAUGUGUCCGUGGCAACACUGCAAACAGCUGAGUUGGAUAAGCGAAGAGGGGUAAAACACUAAAAUUUAUAUAAAUUUGAAGCUUUGUUCUCUUUAAUUUGUUCUAGAUGGUUAUACGAAAAGAUAAUUUUUAUAAAUUUUUCCAUCACGGUGAACAACAACCACCGCACUGGAAGAGAAUUACAAAUGUAAUGAUCAAAAAUAGCCCCCCCAGGAAAAUUUUAAGGUAAAAACCAACCAUCAUACAUGAUGCACCUGUCACGAACAUGUACAUCUUCAAAAAGGUCAAGGCAGAUUGCUCAAAUGACUUUCCCCCAAGAGUCAAAUGAACGUUGUCGAAAUUGCCGAAAUUUUUUCUGGUCCAGAACUGUCAGCUUAGCAAAGUUUCCAAAAACUUGUAAUAAUAAGGAUAUAUAACAAUAAAUAUAUAUUUCUAUAAGACAGUCGAAUGUCAAGAAAAUUAA